rnacentral:lncRNA from 1 species
GGCAGCCCACUAGAACUUGCCUAGUUUGGUGGAGACCCCAUCAACAAAUAAAAUUUCCUCACCAAAUAAUUAAAUUUCCAACUAUAUAUAUGGAAUGAAAGUCCAUGUACAAAAACCAAAAUCUUCCAACUUCAACAAUUAACCGAUUGAUCGCUCAACAGGUUGCGAAACCUAGCUCUUAACGAUCAAGAAAUCUAGGGUGAGUCGGAAAUUUAGUUGUAAAGCUUAACUUCAUAUAUAUAUAUAGGUACGUAGAUAUGCAUAAUGUUGAAAUUAACUGUUGAUUUGAAUGGCAGGAUAUAUAGAAAAGAUGGGUGGUAUGAGGUUGGGUGUGUUGGUGAUGGUGGUGGUAUUGGUGAUGAGCAGUUGCACGGCGGAGGGAAGGAGAGUGGCGGCGGGAGAAAAGGCGGCGGCGGAUGAGCAGAAGGUAGUAGAUGAUGAUGGAGUUGCAAGUACCUUAGAUAACCACCACGCUUGCUCCAUGGCCGACUUCAGCAAGGGUACCUGUGAUCCUGCCUGAUCACAAAAUGAUGAGAGAGAGAGAUAGUCAGUGUGUAUACAAUUAAGUUGCUUUUUUUUAAAAAUAAUACUAAUAAUUAAAUAAAAGAAAUAAGCUGAGUUUGUUUCUAAUGAGCUACGGCCUAUGGCAGAUAUGUGUGUAUGUACAAAAUACUAUGAUAUGCUCAUAUGGUGGCAACAUAUAUAAGGGACUAUUGUUGUUUAUUUGUUUCUUACUGUUAUUACGCAUGUGUUAAGAAUUAAUUAAGAGGAUAUUUGGUUUGAUAAAUAAUUUUAUUUUAAUAACUUUUUCUGUCUCGG